CAAGGCUCGCGGCGGUUCUGUCGAGGGUGCCGGAGGUGUUCAUGGGACCCGCGGCUGCCGCUGUUUUUCGGUUGCUAGAAAUGGUGGCCCGCUUCGUACCGGAGUGAGCGGAGCUGGUGUGAAGGGUAUCGGAGCCACUGCGGCCUUGGAGGACCUCGACGGUAGCCCUUGUUGAGAAGUGCCAGAAUGCUUCAGCUGUGGAGAAAGCCAGUGAUGAAUAAACAAGUUUUUACAUGGAUCUUCUACAGCAUUUGCUAACCUCCUGUGGAAACCAUGGUCUUACUAAUUAAAAUCCAGAAAGAAACUUCAUUGUUUAGUGUUGUACAGUGGCAGGUCAUGCUGAUGCCUUUCUAAGUGCAUUUCUUUCAUCAAUUUCAUUUUAACAGAACAUUUCUGAUACCCUGGUAUAUGAAGCCAGGAUCUAUAAUCAGCAGUUAGAGGUGGUGAAAACCCUGGAUAAAGCUGCGAUUGCUCUGCCAGAGAAAGCAAAACUAAGGCAGGAAUUGCUCCUGGCACUGUGAUCUAGCCCAUGUUCUGAAAGGCUUCAGCAGGGGAAGUUCUUCAGCACUGGUCCCGGAGGUUGCUGCUCUUUUGACAGCUCCCAUCACCUCAUCACUGCUGAAGACUAGGUGAGAAUUGUCUAGUUCCUACUGGGGCCUAAUCAGGGAUUAGGUAGCAUGGGAUGAAUUGUUUUGGCGGGUCACUCAAGGUUCAGACUGAGAUGUGGAUCACUCAUGAGGCUCGGGCUGGGUAGGGAAGGCAGAACAGAUUGUCUGCCUGGACUCUUGAAAUUUCCAGCUUUGCUGUCUUACAUCGUGUGGGAUCCUCUAAGUAGCUCUGGAGCUAGAUUAACAUGGAACAAGUUCCCUGAGACUUGCACAGCUGUGUUUGCAAGCCGAGCUGUUGAAGUGUGCUUGUGUGUAUAAGACACUACUUCCUGACUCCAUUAACUUGAAGAGAAGCUUCUGCUUGAGGAGGUUACUAUGAUAUCAUACUACAGAAACCUCGCUCUUGCUAAUCAAAAUCCUGGAAGAAACUUCUUUGUUUAGUGCAGUGAUGUCACAGUAACUGUGAUUCUGAGUGCAUUUAUUUCGUAAAAAUUAACAGGAUUUCUGGUAAUGUGACUACAUGGGAUUAAUGAGUAGUAUAAUGAGUAGUUAGUAGUAGCAAGUCUGGAAAGUGCUGCCAAGACAAGGGAGACUAAGGCAUGAAUUGCUUCUGGCACCAUGAUGUAGGGCAUCAUUAAGCAAGAGCUUAAUGCUAAAAAUGGCGAGAGUUAUCUACAGAAAGGCAGGCAGGAACAUCAUACUAUACUUUGUAGAUCGUAUACUGCUUUAUAAAACAGCUGGUUGUAAGGCUGUGUUAAUGAAAACUGUUUAAAAGACUCAAAAUCUCCACAUUGGCUGUGUGUACUGUAUAUUAUGUUGUCUCCAAACUUUGUUAAGAUUUUAAAAACUUCGUGAACAAGCUCACUAGCCACAUGCUCCACUUUUUUGUCUUUUAAUAGAACCUGAUCUGCCACAUUCAUUUAAAACUGGACAAUCGGGAAAGAGUUACUAGAUGGAGUAUUCUAGGUUGAUGUCCAUUGUAAUUUCAUGACAUGAAAAUUUCCGUAUUUGUAAAUUGCAGUUUCUAAUCAUAUUUGAGAAGCUUUAGACUAUGAUCUGUGUAUAACUGAUGCAGUAGCAUCUGUUUGAAUAUGCACACAGGAUGCUCCCACUCCUCAAAUUGCUGAAAGUUAACUCUUCUGCUGAUUGCAAAGGGGUAUUAAUUCCUAGCCCAAUUACUCCACACAAUAUGCAUCACUUCACAUGGGGUGCAGCACAAGCAGAUGCUGUGGUUGAUGCCAGGGUAUCUUGUAGCUUCCCAUUUGCUUUCCCUGAUGACUGCAGGAGAUUGGCUGACCACUAGGAGGUAAAACCUGCCUUCUUGAAAGAGAAGGAUCCUGUACCAGAACCACCACCAUAAGAUUUUGGGAUAGCUUCAUUCAGACCUUCACUGGGAGGAAUUUGCAUUGCGGAUGAUAACUCUUGAUAUAAAUUAAAGCAGGGAUCUUCUCAGGCACUGCUUUUUUACACAUAUUACCAUGAGUUGUUUUCUGUGAAAACUUUUAUUGCAAAUCAAAGAAAAAUCAGAGCCUAAAAUGACAUAAUUAAAUAACACUGGGUUAUAUUACCUACUAUUAAACAAAAAUAAUACAAUGAAAAUAACAAUCUUUUAAAGUAACUGCUCUUUGCAGAGUGUAUGUAUUAUGAAUAAUAAUGGAAACGAAGUCUCCAGGAAAAGAAAAUUAAUGUUAUUUUAAGAACUGUAACUAUGGAUCUCCUGACAUCUGAAUGAUUAAAACAUUAACAUUUCAUUAAAAGAUAUAAAAACUGUAUCUGAUAAACAAAAAUAAAUUCUGUGCAAAGAAUUCAUUACUUAUUUCUAUUAUUAGUGCUACUACAAUGAUGAUAACGUUAAAGCAUUUUGAAAGGAAUGAAUUUUUGCUUUAAGAGAAAGACUAGAUAACUUAGCAUAGAAGGCUAAUGCCAUCUUUUAUGUAGCAUGGUGGCAAAUCUCUCCAUAUACUCAGUAUUAAAAUCUACUUUGACCAAAAUUAAAAAAGAAAUUUCACUUACCAUAGAACUGUAAUCUAGGAUGCUUAUGCCAUCUUCAUGUACAGCAAACCAUAUGAAGGGCUUCUCGACUGAGGACGUUGCUAGAGGCUAUGAAGAGAAACGUUCUUUAAUUACUACUUCAAAAUGAGGCAAUAUGUAACUAAUUAUUAACUCUCCAUCCACAGAUCUUACUGAGAUCUACACUGGGAGGGAAAUGAUGGAAAGGAAUUGAAGUAGCUGCCCAAAGCCAUGUAGGCGGCCAGUGGCAGAACUAUGAACUCAACCUAAUAUUCUUGAAGCCUCCACUGGUGCUUAGUCCAAUAAAAUGUAUACUCUCAUUAAUAAAAUAAUAAAAAAAAAAAGGUCAGGUGUUUUAAAGCAUGUUCACUAGCACAUAUGUCUACAUAUGCAAAGAACAGAGUGCUGAUAAGCAAUUAUGUAUAUAUCUACUGGGAUUACCCAAUAAAACAUAAGGGGUGAGGUGACAGUUCUGUUUAACAUAGCUGUUAUUUGAAUCAAGAGAAUUAAGACACUAGCAGUUUAAGAGAAAUCGAGAGAGGCCAGCACAGAAGGGCAUGCUCUAAAUACCCUUAACAACAUUAGUGUUUCUCCAAGGUUCAGCUUCCAUAGCCAUGUUGCCUUUUAAAUAUUCUACUAGUUAUCAGGUAAAAAAGUCUGAAACAAAAAGGCUAUCUCAGACUAAGAUAUAAGAAAAUGAAAAGAUGCCACCUAGAUUAAUAAUGUAAAACAAGCAAUAAGUGCACUGGACAGUUACUAUUAUGGUAUACUUAGUACUAUGGCUAUUACAUUUCACCAAUAUAUGGCUUAAACAAGUUAGUAAUUUGACAGGAGAUUCAACCAGCACAUGUAUAACACACUAAUUUUCAACAAAAAAUGUAUUACUAUUUGCAAAUUGUAUUUAUAUUUUAAAAAAACGCACCACUCAAACUCAGUAAAGUUUCUUACUUUUGCUGCAAACAAUUUAGCACCAAAGAAAGACCAUUUUCUGGCUACAGUGAGAUAAAUGCGCACACAGUCUGCAGCACUGUGCCCUCGGAGAGCCAUCCAUCUUGUAGACAAUCGCUGACAAAGCUGUCUGUUCAAAUGCAAUAUGUAAUUUAGUUAUUGAAAGGAAUUUAAAUGCUUACCCAUAGCAAGUUUAAUGAGCAAAAAAAAAAUCCAUUUGUUAAAAUGAUAAUUUAAGUUAAUACAACAACUAUCACUUAUACAGUAUUAAAUAAAUCCAAAAUGUCAUUUAAUAUUUUUAUGCACAUGAAAAUUACGAAGUAUCUUUCUAAUUUCUGCAACAUUAUGAUUAAAUAUUGAUGCAGCAGUUGCAGCAUAAAGAGAAAAAGUCUAGUACAGCUUUUAAUGUGUCUCUACAGUUGAUCAAUCUACCUUUAUCAGUACUCAGCAGCUAUGCCAGCUGUCAUUGCAGAAAUCCAUCCAGCUUAGCACAUAUCUUUACCUGUGGCUAGCAGUAGAUGUGGAAGAUGCAGCUUAACACUAUUCUUUUUUAGCGUAUCUGGGCACUGCUACCAAAAAGGGUGCUUCUGAUGCAUGAUGCGUUCACACUGGCUCUUUUCUUUUGUGGUCCCAUGGUGAGUUGGUUCAAUAAAAUGAUCCUAAGGAGAACUAAUCCUCAAAAACGUAAAACCCCGAAAUACCUCUCUAGCACAUUGACUUGCAGGAAUGACUCACCUGGCAGCCACAAAACUAUCAGAUGCAGCCCAAGAUAAGGGAGGGGGAAUGUGUAGUAAAGGGAGAUCUUUCACUUGCAGCUUACCCUUACUAGAAGUUUAUGAAGUCAAACUGCCUCCUUAGCAAAAGAAUACAAGAAACAGGGUAGGUAUAGAGUGAGUCUUUCCCUGCCACAGAUGUCCAGGUCUGCAAUUGGUAGUUUAGGGACUACCUGAACAGUUCAGCAGGUGUUUGAAUUAAUCCUCCAUGAGUUAGUCUAAUCUAGGACCCACUAUACUUCAUCUUUGAAAUUAACUGCAUAACCUUCUAUUUGUUGUCUGUAUACUUUUGAAUGUCCCUAUUAUCUUCUGAGUAUGUAAUAACGUCAGUCUGUGCAUACGAUAAUAGCUUUAAACUUUCUCAACCCUGUACUGAAGAAUGGGGAAAACAUUUCUAUGAUGUUCAGAAUUGCUAUGUCAUAUAUCAUUGACUUUGGAUAAUUUAUUACACUGUUCUGCUCUACUUUAUGUUAACAGAUGUUGACUGACUUGCAGAUUAUUAAUUUUAAAUUAAGUGAUACUUUCCUAGCAAGUCCACUAAGUUAAUGUAUUGCCAGUUUGGCUGGCUGCCAGAGAUUGCACAUUUGAAUAGCGAACACCCAGAUCAGAUCCUCAUGUCCUUUACUUUCACUAGGUCUUUAGUCUGUGUACAGACUUAAUUUAGAUUUGCUGAAUAAGAAAAAUAAGGAUUUCAAAAUUGCUGGGUUUUGUAACACUAUGUAGUAACUUGUGCAGCUUUUGCUGGAGUGAGUUCUUAAUGACUGCCCUCUGUUUAGAUUAGAAAUACACAGAGGGAAUGGGUUCUUCAAUUUAGCAAGAAUAUGAGUUUCAAACACAGGUUUAGGCAAAUACGGUGUAACAGUAAGUUGUACCUAAUGACAACUUAAAGCCUCCUCAUUUCACCCCUCAAUUUUUUGAGAACAUGAAUCGCCAAAAUCAUCUCACCUUAACUGUUCCUCUGAACAACCAUGCCUGUAUCUCUUAGGAUAGAAUUUCUCCAAAACUUGUUUUAAUGUUUGAUUGGACUUGGACUGGGAAGUGACUUGCCCUGCUGGAGUUGAGAAAGGCCGUUCAAAAUCUCCAAUCUCAAUCUAAGGGAAAGACCACAGAGAAGAAAAUUUUUUGUUGCUCCAGAGCGAUUUUCUAGCUGGGAUCUCCAACCCAGUAUGAAUGACUCUUUGGACCUCAAAUAGUCAUCUUUUGGGGCUAUACAGGAAACAUUAAUUGAAAUCUCUAAAUGCAUCUUGGACUCCAAUUGCUUUUUAGUUUUAAAGGACUGUGAUUAGUAACAGCUUACUUUUUCCUUUAUAACCCGGCUGCUACUUCUAUGAAUAAUAUCAGUCUCCUAGACAAAGCUUUUAAAUAUAGUUCAGCGAAUGAAUUUCAGCAAUUGAAAGAGUGAUGUUCUUGUUUUUAAUCUUUCGUUUUACGUUAUGAGGAAAAAAACCUGAAGACAGUUUUCAGCCUGAAAAAUGUUUUCCUUUAUAUUGUGUGAAGAGGGAUCUGUAAAAUGAAGAUAUUUUGGUGUUUUCUGUGCAGAGCUUCUUAAAGGCUUUUGUUUACCUUGAUGUUUCCUUGAAGACAGUGCUCUAUAUCUUUGCCAGAGGGAUCAUCAGAAAACAGUGCAAAUCCUGACUGAGCUGGUUUCCUCAUCCCUGUAUCCUGGUUUAGGGUGUUCAGAAAUUCCUCCACUGUGGUAGAUGCAUCAAAUCCAACAACCUAAAAAAGCAGCCAAAAUGUAUGUUACUAUCAAACUUAUUAAAAAAACCCACCCUCUUUGUGUCAUUUGCCCCCCCCCAAUCUAAGAUAUUGAAGGGUAACACCUCUAGAAUAAAUGUGGCAAUGUAAAACACAUUCCAUUGCCUGUGAAUAACUUAUUGUCAUUGCAAAUAAGGGUUUGGAAAAGAUUAAAGAUCUCAUGGGAAGUCAAUUUAGUGUUUUCCUCCAUCCAAAAAUUUACAAACUUCACAGCAGGUUAUACCUUACUGCAUUUUGUUUAUGAAACCAAAGUCACUAUCAAAAAGCUUCUAAAUGUAGUAAUUUUUAUUUUAUUUUCUUUGUUUAUACCAGUUCCUUUGCACUUGCUUCGCUUGUAUUUCUGUCACAUAAUUUGUAUAACAGAAAGCAGUUUAGUAUCUGAUCUUGUGACAAAUAUCACUUGAAAAAUGAAGAAAACUGUAAUUUCCUACACUUUUCAAUAGGUGAUGAAACAAAUGAGAUCAAUUAAUCAUUUUUCAUCAUGUGCAACUUGAGAGGGGUGUUUACUGGCAGCACUACAUUGGCAGAUCCAAAAUAUUUUACAUAUUGCUCUGUCAGUGCUACAUAAGCCAGUAAUAUAGAGAGCCUUCUACGUUUUUCUUUUCCGAAUCCAAAUUUUUGUCUGUUGUUACUUGUAUUAAAACAUUUUAGCAGGAGAUGGCAAAUGGCUUUCAUACAGAUGGUAGUUGCUGAUGUUCACUUAUAUCUACUUUGAGGGUGUUUUCCUGUAUUUGAUAUGUUCAAGAAGGCCCCUUGCCUCUUUUUUUGUAAAGAAAUAUCUUGAAAAGGGAUUUCGGACUUCUACUUUGGGCUUUUCAGUGGUUGGAAUUUAAAACAAUACCUGUGGAAUCUAGCUUUAGAGAUGACUGCAAGAGUUUUCAAUACCACUAUAACUGGUUAUUUGCUGAUCCCAAUGAAGUAAUGUAUUUAAGUUACAAUUUUCAUGACUCUUAAGUAUACAUUUUUGAGCAAUAAAUAACUAAUGAGCAGUUA